AUUGAACGCUGGCGGCCGGCCUAACACAUGCAAGUCGAACGAGCGGCGGACGGGUGAGUAAUGUCUGGGAAACUGCCCGAUGGAGGGGGAUAACUACUGGAAACGGUAGCUAAUACCGCCUACCAUCGGAUGUGCCCAGAUGGGAUUAGCUAGUAGGUGGGGUAACGGCUCACCUAGGCGGCGGUCCCUCGCUGGUCUGAGAGGAUGACCAGCCACACGGGAACGGAGACACGGUCCAGACCCCUACGGUAGGCAGCAGUGGGUAAUAUUGCACAAUGGGCGCAAGCCUGAUGCAGCCAGGCCGCGUGUAUGAAGAAGGCCUUCGGGUUGUAAAGUACUUUCAGCGAGGAGGCGUUACUCGCAGAAGAAGCACCGGCUAACUCCGUGCCAGCAGCCGCGGUAAUAC
rnacentral:rRNA from 1 species